rnacentral:rRNA from 1 species
AGUGAACGCUGGCGGUAGGCCUAACACAUGCAAGUCGAACGGCAGCACAGUAAGAGCUUGCUCUUACGGGUGGCGAGUGGCGGACGGGUGAGGAAUACAUCGGAAUCUACUUUUUCGUGGGGGAUAACGUAGGGAAACUUACGCUAAUACCGCAUACGACCUACGGGUGAAAGCAGGGGAUCUUCGGACCUUUCGCGAUUGAAUGAGCCGAUGUCGGAUUAGCUAGUUGGCGGGGUAAAGGCCCACCAAGGCGACGAUACGUAGCUGGUCUGGGAGGAUGAUCAGCCACACUGGAACUGAGACACGGUCCAGACUCCUACGGGAGGCAGCAGUGGGGAAUAUUGGACAAUGGGCGCAAGCCUGAUCCAGCCAUACCGCGUGGGUGAAGAAGGCCUUCGGGUUGUAAAGCCCUUUUGUUGGGAAAGAAAAGCAGCAGGUUAAUACCCCGCUGUUCUGACGGUACCCAAAGAAUAAGCACCGGCUAACUUCGUG